UACGUAGGGGGCAAGCGUUGUCCGGAUUUAUUGGGCGUAAAGAGCGUGUAGGCGGUCAGGUAGGUCCGUUGUGAAAACUCGAGGCUCAACCUCGAGACGCCGAUGGAAACCAUCUGACUAGAGUCCGGAAGAGGAGAGUGGAAUUCCUGGUGUAGCGGUGAAAUGCGCAGAUAUCAGGAAGAACACCCGUGGCUAAGGCGGCUCUCUAGUACGGUACUGACGCGGAGACGCGAAAGCGUGGGGAGCGAACAGG
rnacentral:rRNA from 1 species